rnacentral:lncRNA from 1 species
CUUGAAUUACCCCCAAUUGAAAAGCAAAAACAAAAAAUUGAAUCAAAACUAGAUCUUUCCCAAGGAUCCCCAGUUGGAGAGCAAAUUUCUUUCUCGAUUGUUGAGGGGUUGUACCUUGGCCUUUAAUUUUUGAGAAUCUAGGAGCACAAGGGCUGAAGCUUCCUCAGGCUUUGCCGAUGCUGUUCAAUCGAGGACAAAGGAGGUUCAUGUGAAGGUGGCGGCGCGCCGGCGAUGGUGACAUCGUUGCCGGGUUGACAGUGAAUUUUUCUUUUUCCAAAAGUUUCGAACAUACUUCUCCCGAUGUCGUCUUCAAAUCUUCUAAUCGCUGGUGACUCUUCUCGAAAACUAAAAAAUAUUCCAAAUGUCGCCUUCAAAUCUUCGAAUCUGCAGGAUAGAUGGAAGAGUGAAUUUCGAAAACCCUAUUCGAGAAUAGUUGAAACGAGGAGAAGAUGGAGUGAAUUUCGGAACUACCCGAUUUACCUUCGUGGUAAAUUUCCCCAAAAAGUCCUUCAGCAUUCUGAAUCUGUCAAAUUAUAUGGUCC